rnacentral:lncRNA from 1 species
AGUUUCAACAUUAUACAUUCACCAGAAAUGUAUGAGAGUUCCAGCUCUUCCAUAUCCUGGCCAAAUUUGAUACUUGAAGUCCUCUUAUGAAGCAUUACUGUUUUCUCAAAAAUCUGCCAUUAGCAUUGGAAGGAAUUGUAACUGAGCCCCCAUCUUGCCUGUGUCACUCUUGAAACCCAGCUGCCAUGCUAUGAGUAAGUCCAAUUAGCAAAAGUCCCUGAUAGAGAGGAUUUGAGGCCUGCUGACAGCCUUGACUGAGAUUUCAGCCAACACCCAAUAUCAAUUUUGCUAACCGGCCUUAACUUUCUCUAGGAAUGAUCUUACAUCCAUGGAUGUGACUGUCUGAGCAAGUGGAAGAAGCCAUGGUAUAACACAGAUUAAAUUAUCUCAGUGAUGAUGGUAAUCAUUUCCAAAAGAAGGUAGUGGUCCUCUUCCCUGAACUGUAAGAACUGUGAUUUCAUGCACUCCAAGUUGAGAACCCCUGCAGGAUCCUGAGUUGACUAAAUCCUAAUCAGUACGGCAGUCAAAGAUUCCGUAGUGCCUGGCCAUUGUAUGGAAAGAUCAGUCUUCUCAAGGUUAUUAAAAUCUCCCAUAAUAUAUUCACUGUGUACUUACAUGAAUACAAUGAUGUCAACUAAAAUACAAUUUAUUUCAAAUUUUUAAUUUUGUGUUGUCUAUUAAGUAUGCUUACAUUUUUAUGUCAACAUGGUUUCACUUUUUAUGUUAGAAAAUGCUAAGCAAUAAAUGCUACAGCUGAAUGUUGAAAGGUAUUAGUGUUGCUUGAAGCUCACCAAAUAAACACCCAGAUACUCCACGGGUAUAGCCCAGUCCUGACCUUCAGUGGAUAGGAAACUAUUCAGUGAAAUGUAAUGCACAGUACUGGAUUAUGGUCAGUGGAAUUUUUCAAAAUAAAUUAUCCAUAUCUGUAUUACUUGAUUCGGCUUGACUCCUCUUUUAACUAAAGUAUGUUUUAACUGUUUUUUUUCUUUUUUCUUUUUUUUUUUUUUGAGACAGAGACUCCCUCUGUCGCACAGGCUGGAAUGGAGUGCAGUGGCACGAUCGCGGCUCACUGCAAGCUCCGCCUCCGGGGUUCACACCAUUCUCCUGCCUCAGCCUCCCAAGUAGCUGGGACUACAGGAGCCCGCCACUACACCCGGCUAAUUUUUUGUAUUUUUAGUGGAGACGGGGUUUCACCGGGUUAGCCAGGAUGGUCUCGAUCUCCCGACCUCGUCAUCUGCCCGCCUCAGCCUCCCAAAGUGCUGGGAUUACAGGCGUGAGCCACCACGCCCGGCCCAACUAUUUUUUAUUAAUUACUGGCAAACUCCUAUUUUCCAGCCACUUCUGUUAUUCUUAUAAAACACUUUUACACUAUUUACAAAUGUGCAUUAAUACAAAAUUAUUGGUUUAUGCGAUUUCUCAAAAAAAUUUCAUCAUGUACCUCAAAGCUUAAGGUAGUUGGAGGUUCAAGUUCCAAUUAGAACUUAGUGCAAAUCCCUUCUGCAGAUACAAGUAUAGUAAAAUAAUUAUUGCCUGGGAAUUUCAGAAACCUUUUAUAGCUCCUGCUAUUGUCUUCUUGCCAAAAUGAACUAUCUGCUCAUUUAUUCUAAAUUAGAAUUGUGCAGUUAACAAAGAUCAAGAAGAUUAAAAACAUGGUGUGAAGCCAGUUUAGCAUAACAUUUAGUAUUUCCUUUUGUAAGUACUGCUCUCCUGUGCUUAGUUAAGUAUUAUUUAAGAUACUAUUGGAUCUUUAUAGAAUGUUCCCAUGAUUAAAAUUUAAUUUUGACACUACAACAUGUACAAAGUUCUGUCAAGUAUUAUUAAUGAUUAAACAAUGAGGAAAUAUGUUAUUACAGUGUGUUCAAUCUUUAAUGUCCAUUAAAUCCACUUGGUAAGUGUAAGUGGAAAUGAUACUAACUACAAUUCUCAUUCUCUAGUCCUUUACACAUUAUAAAGAAAUGAGGAUCUUACAAUACCAAUCAAUAAGUGAUGAAAAGAAACUGUGCGUGGUGGCUGAAAUUUGAAUGGGCCUUUCACAGAAAUCUUAUUAUUCUCCUACUAGGGACAGUGCAGAACAGACAUUCCACUUCCCGCUUUGUAAGCAAAUGCCUAGGCGUGUAGCACUGUGAUUAUAUUUCUAUCUUCGGCCUUAGAUCAUCUUCAGCAUCAGAGAGUUCUGAAAAUCCCAUUAAGAAGUCAUUUCAAGGAAACAUAAAUGUUCUUUGAAAUAAUCUUCAAUGCUUUUCUAAUUUUUUAUAUUAAUGUCUCCUGCAACCCUCUUCCCAGAAUGGGUAAUAAAUCCUCUUAUAUUUAUGCACAGAGAGAUAUGUAUAUACAGUUUAUUUACUUCCUGUUUUAAUUGCUGUCCUAACUAAAUACAACACAUGUAAUGCAAAUGUUUGCCAAACUUUGUAUGGGUUGUACUUAACAUGUAUAACACUGGCAUUUUAGCUGAACUGAUCGUGACAAAGCAUUCCUGAAUAAAAAUUACUUUUUUAGAAAGGAAACAGUUCUGUUGCAAAAUCAAGUUUUUACUUUUUCUUAUGGUUUUGUAGCCUAACGAAAAAUGAAUACAUGAUGAAAUGUAUCCCAAUUUCCUUCCACUUUUAAUUGAUCUUCAUAGGCUUGAGGGAAUUUGUCUUUAUAUUCAUCUCCCAGGGAGAAUUUCCACCAAAUUAUUUGAGUGAGUUAUCAUCAUUCAACUUUGCCUGGCUAAAAGCCCUAAAAUAGGGACAAAAAUUACAUUAAAUAUCUCAUUUUCUAUUUUAGGGUGCUGUGAAUCAGCAGAAGGUUCAAGCUAACAUACUGAUUGUAAGCAUAAUGUAGGCAACAGAUAGUGAAGGCCUUUAUUAUCUUCUGAUAAGUUUGUUUUGAGAAUCAUUUUUCUCUUAUAUGCUUAUUUUUGUUUCAAUUGUGGAGACCCAUGAUUUACAACCAUAAUCUUCCCAACUAAAUUUCAAAUUAUUGCAUGUCAAAAAGUAUUGGCAUUUGACCAUUUAUUAAAUUAGUCCUGAUAGUCUGACAUGAUUAAAAGCACAAUCAUUCUACUCAAAUUACAAGAAGUCUCAAUCAUUUGAGGUUCCUGCCCUCUCCUAAUAAUACUCUUUCUUCUGAUAACAGAUUCACUCAACAUGCCCACUUUCCCCAUGCUCCAGGAAAAUAAAAUAGAGUACUACCAGGGCUAUCCAACAGGGUCCUUCCUGCUCCCUGGCCAUAGAUGAUCAAGGAGAGGCAACUGCCCUGGGCUAGUUGGAAAUUCCUUCCAAGGAAUUUAGAAGUGAGAAAGAGAAAGACUGUAAUUCCAUCAGGACUGUUUGUUUGGACUUAGGUGGAUGCAAACCUGAGAAGUGAAGGUGGAGAGUAGCUGCUUUAUAUAUGGAAAAAUAGAAAAAGCCAGUCUAUGGAGAGAAGGAAUAGCUGUACAGAGAAGGCAGAGAAGACAGAGCAAGAGCAUGAGACCAGGGGACCUUGGCUAGUCUUCCUACAGCUUUCCAGUUCUCAGUUUUACUUACCUAAGAAAAGAGAUGAUUUUGAAAUUUCUUGGAUUUUUUUGUAUUAAGGUGACAUCAUCAAGUUUCACAACUUUGUAGCCAUCUAUAAUUAUUCUUAAGGCCAAGGUCAGAUGGCACAUUUUUGUUUAACUUUGAAGUACACAAGAGAGACGUCAUAAGUCUAAACCCUGUAACUCUUCUUCCAGGUUUAGGAAACAUACUUCAGGCUUAUUUUUACUGGUGUUUGUUGCAUAUGCUACAUGGCUUGGUUUCCUAGGUAACAGUGUGUGUAGACUUAGUUGUAAAUUUUCUCUUUCCUUGAACUCAUACUUAGGGGUGGGGGGGGGAGUUCUAAAAAACAUAUGAAUUUCAGAAUCAAAUUUUCCUCUUAUCCUUCACUACCUCUUGCCACCUGCCUCCUCACACAAUCUGUAUCUGUCGACUUUUAAGCAGGAUUUGCUGCCUUCCAAUUUUCCCACAAGCCUUUGGGUGCUUAUUUCUAGCUUUAUGACACUCCCAGCUUAUGCUACCUAAUGAGUCAUAGAAAUGAUUUUUAAAUGUAUGUAUAAUGUAAAAGAAUAAUUAUGAACCAUUCAAGGAACAGUCAUUGAACACCAAACACUUUGCUAAAUGCAUUAUAUGCAUUAUUUCAUUUGAUACAUAUGACAAUAAUGGGCAUUAAGAAUUAUUAGCAUUUCUUAUAGGUAGGGAGGAAACAAGUUUCAUGAAGUUAAGUGGCUUAAUCAGAGCCAAAAGCUAAUACAUUAAUGAGAUAAAGACUUGAAUUCAUUUCUGUGAAUGCCAGACUCAUGCCCUGAGUUAUUACCCUACACCAGGUAACCUAAUGCCGUCGUUUUAGGUUUUAUCUUUGUAUCAAGGCAUAUGCAAAAGCAGGAUGAGAAUCAGGCUCCUUCUGUUUAGGGCCACAGGGCAUGCAUGGUAGAGCUAUAUAUUGAUAAAUAGGGAGAAAUUUGACUCAUAGCUUUUGUCAUCAUGUAUUUAUGUUUUAAGGGAAGGGAGAGUAUUGCAUAUCUUCUGUCUCACCCAUUACAUAAUGUCUUUCUAGUGGCAAGCUUUCAAUAACAAGUUGACUGAUUAAUACUUGAAACAAUGGAUGCAGCUUGCACUGCCAUUGCCAGGGCAACUGCUCUAAAUUGUAGUUUCUCCUUUUACCCCCCUAAUAUAUUUUAAAGCCUCUAUUAAUAAUAUUUCUCUUUUAUUUUUCAAAUUUUCUGUAUGUAGCCAGAAAGAUCCUUGAAUGUGCAUCUAAUAAAAAAAAAAAGAAAACUAAGUAUAUGCUAGAAAAGCUGGGAUUGCAAAUCCUUUCUCAGAUAUUUCAAUUCACAAUAAUUUUCCCCAAUUCCUACCUUUUGUAGCACUUUUUCUGUCAUCAUGCCACUGAUGAACCUUCUGAGAAUAUUAGGGAUAGAUGAAAUCCUGCCUUGUGUGAUUAUUUUUGGAGUAGCCACUGAAAGUCAAAAAGAUAGCGAAGCUCAGCUAAUGAUCCAUGUCACAUACAACUGAGAACUGCAAAGCAAGAAUUACAAAUAAGGCUUUCCAAUCCCAAGUCUAGUGACAGGUCCACUACAUCUCCCAUAGCCAUUAUGGUAUUUAAUACUUCGGUCAUCUCUAUUAGCUAUGAUUUUGGUUACAAACAAAAUAAACCAACAUUGGAUUAUUCAAAGAGGAUGAAAACUAUUUGAAAGGGAUGCCAAAUUGAAAAAAAAAUGGUGGAAAGUUGAAGAGUCAAAAUGCAAAAAUUGGUGGAAAGUUGACACCCAGAAUAACUGCCAAAGUCCUGUCGCCAUUCAAGACCACAUCAGAGUUAUGGAAACAACCAUGGCCACAGGGUCACUGGUGACACUCCUGCUUCCAGAGAAGUUACAGUCUUUCCUUUCACUGCAUCUGCUACUGCUCCUAGAAUGGUUUCCAGACUGGCCCCUGCUUAUUUACAUAAACCACUCCAGAUUCAAAGCCCCAGCAAAGAGUAGCCCAAGGUGAGGUUAGGUCAGAAGCCCACACAGAGCUACCAAACACCUACCUAGACAACAACAAAUAUGUCCCUCUCCUCAGUUUUCACUGUGGAAGGUAAAACCCUGUCUGUCUUCCUUGAAAUUUUCCCAAAUAGAAGGCGUUCAGAGAUUGUGCAGCUGCAAGUAAGAAAUAUCCACUAAACAUUCUAAAAGUGUUUACUGCAUUGUCAAAUAAAAAAAUGCAUAGGACAAGAGAAACAGUCAAGGAAUACUUUAUUCAAGACUAUAAAAAUAAGGGAAAGAGAUUGAACUCAACUUCGCUGAAACAAAAGGCAGGAGAAUUUUUAAGCACUGGGAUGAGGCAGUUGCAAAGUACUGGAGAAAGUUAGCAGGGAAGUUGGUUAGUGAGAUGAGGCCUUCUACGGCCUAAUCUGUUUGCUAAUUGAUGUUUAUCAAAGUUAGGUUCCUACCUUCUCACAUAGACUGGGAGAUGGGGCUCUGUCUUUCCUCUUAAUAAAUACAUUUCAAAUGUUGGAUCCCAGGUCCUCAAGAAAGAUAUUCCUGUGUUGUAAAACUGGCAAGAAGCUAGAAGAAGAUUUACAUCUCAAAAGGACAGAGAGACAAUUUAGGACUGCAAUUUUUCUAAAGUAAAUGCUCAGAUGCUCUGAGGAAAGGAAGGCCUGGGGCCUUUAGUCAGGAAGAAAUCUGUCUAAAUUUAGCCAAGCCGAGGCCACCUUGGUCACGGAUAUGUUCAUGUUUUGAUUCUUGAACUAUAGAGAGAAACCUUUAGAAGACUUCAGUUUAUGCCAUUACCAUUUUCUAGCCCAAAUAGCUUUAUCACAAUACGUUUUAUAUGUGGCAGUGGUAAAAAGUGAUUAAGUGAUUGAAUGUACACAAUGGAAAGUCACAACAGAAAGUUAUUUUAUUUUUCUCCUUUCCGCCGACAAAAAUUCUUUGACAAUACCUUACUCAAUGAUUUCUCAAAUAACCAGAGGAUAAAAACAGAAAAGUUUCUAAGACUAUGAAUAUGUAAUCAGAUUUAAUGCAUUUCAAAUUGAAAGACAGAGUUCCAUGACUAGGUUUAUUUUUGGUUGUCUACAGUUAUUGACAAUGAAAAUUUGAAUUCUUGUCAGCAAAUUUAUUUUGGGAAAUGGUGGAAAAUAAAAUUCUAAUUGCAACUCAAUUGGCUGUUGACUCCUUUUGCAGUUUCACUGGAAAUAUUACUCCCAUAUUUAAGUUUAGAUUUUGUUCACCACUGGUAUAUUGACAGAACACCCCAAAAAUAUGUUUCCUCUAACAUUGUAAAAGAAGGAAAUGUGAACUCUUAAGAAAUAGGACUGCUGUAUUGGGUAGCAGUAAAAGAAGCAGGGGAUAAACUUGAUCUUCAACAAAACUAUCCUUUAUGUUGCGGAAACUACUCUGGGCUGACCUUAUUUUAAAUCACUCCACUAAACCACUAUAAGAACUCAGAAAUAACACAAAUACUAAAACCUCCUACAUACAUAUUUGGAAAAGUAGAAUCCCUCUUUCUAGAAACCCUCACUGCUACACAAACAUUUUGUUCACUCCACACCCCAUUAACUUUCAGAGCAACAAUAACAACAAAUUCAGGAGGCUAUUGAACUGAAGAACGCCUGGGUAGAUGCAAUUGAAUUAUAUCAAUAUAUUUCAGAUCCAAAAGGAAAGAAUAUUUUUAGAAUUUUUUUCUGUAACGGUUGAAUUAUUCAAGGAAGCUAGAGAUAGGUGGUGAAUAAACUUGAUUUAAAAUGUGUAUGUGUGUGCAUGUGUGUACGUGUAAAAUCCUGGGCAAAGAAAUAUAAAGAAUCUUCUUUAUAUGUGUUUGCUUUUUGACUAAGCCAUAUUUCUAAAACAAUCAUGUCCAUCCCUCUAUCCAUUAUCAAUUGUGAAUACAACAACCUCUAUCAAAAAUGGCACUCAUGAAAAUGUCUAUAAAUAAUAAUAUACUUUAGAACUUGGCCAAAACAAAGCAUCUUUUAUUAUACAAAGAUAUGGUUGCAGGUCUCGUGGAGACUAGAGAACUCUUUCUGACCAUCACAGAAUGUCAUGGAAGAAGGGAAGUUUGAAAUAAUGAGUAAAUUCUCUUAGAAUUUCUUUUCCUUUUUUUUUUUGUCAGCUUUGCAGAGGAUUGCUUGGAGGGUAAUAUUUGAGACUUGGAGUUUAUUUCUCUUUGGAAAUUAUUCAAAAAUUGCUGGAGACAUAAUUGGAAUAUAAAAAUGACAAUCAUCAUUCUCUUUAUUGGUAGCAUUUGUAGGAACAAAAAGGGUAUAAUACUUUUCCUCCACAUCAUAAGGGUCACAGCCAACACUUUUAUAACAAAAGACAGGUUAACAAGAUAAAAACAUAGCUCUUUAAUCAAACUUCUACAUGACAGAGACUUUAGAAUGAAGACCUCAAAGAUUCACGGAAAAACUGUCUAUUUUUAUGUUUGUGUUCGAUGAAGAAUGGGCAGCUGUGUAGAAAUGUGAUUGGACAAGAAUAUAACCUAAUGGUAAUUGAGUGGGAAAACCCAACAAGGCCUAUGUGUUCAGAUUCUUCUUGGCCUCUCUGUGUAGCAUUCUUUCCUCACAUGUACAGAGAGCAGGACACCUCUGGAAUGAGCAUCUUAUGACCUACAAUCAGACAAGGUAAGUCCAAGAACUUAUUCUCAGCUCCUACACAGAAAGGCAGAGGAAGGUAAAAGUAAUAUUUCCAGAUUUUAUAGCUGGCUUUGCAGGAAACAGGUCCUAGUUUCUAUGAUCCACCUUGGGGAAGAAGCAUUCUGGUUACUAUGACUCACUUCUAGAAAGAAUGAGGGGCCAAUGACAGCCAGGAAGGAGAAGGUCAGAUAGACCCUAGUCCUGAGGCUGCUUCUGAGGCCUUCCAAUGUCCUUUGGUUGAAAGUACUCAGCAUGCCAAAGUACAUACUUUGGAGCAUCAUUUUCUGAGCCCUAACAUGUGUGUUAACAUUUACUGUGUGUGGGGUUGUUUUAAUUUUUUAUUUUUUACAUGCAAUAUAUGUUUGAACCUUGUUGAAGCACUGAAGUCUGUACAGUAGGUUUUAUCUCCAUUUUACAAGAUGAGAAUAUUGAUGUCAUUAACAAGUAAAUGGAAGAGUGCAGCUUGCAAUGUAGGUUUUCUGGUAUCUACUUCAGAGUUAAUAAAUAUACAGAACUUAGCACAAUAUUUACUGUAUGGUAAAUGUUCAGUAAAAUGCUAGUCAUCAGUAUUGCUACUAGUCUUUUCAUAAAUAGUUUACAAUGUCCUUUCUUUGAAUCAAAUCAUCCAUGAGAAGAAAUACAAUAUACAAGAGCUUUGCCAUGGGAAAGCAUUUUCACUAUUCCUUUUUCGUAAAAUCCCUUUUAUUAAACUACUUUAAAGGAGAUUGCUGAUUCGUCUCAGGACAUCAGGACAGUGUGUUAGGUAUAGCAUUGUUUGUUAGUAAUCUCUGAAUGUACUAGGCUAAUGUCCGUGGUUAGCCUAAUAAGAAAGUCCCUGAUUAUUUUCUUCCCAUCCAAACCUGUACUCCCACUUUCCCACUAGAACUCCUCUUUUACCACGAGUGUACAGAACAUCUGUGAGCCAGGGGUUCUAUUGUUAUUUAAGAUGGCAAUCUGCUGCAAUUGUCUGCCUUCAUUCAUAACCAAUCCCGGGGGAAAUCUCAACCACAAUUAGAUGACAGAGAUGUCAAGCAGAAAGGAAUCAUUUGCUAUGGUGGAACUCAGAGAGGAGAAAAAAAAAUAGAUGAACUUGACUGUCAAAGAAGUAAUAUCCAUUCUAUAAAACCAAAUAAUGUCUUAUGAUCGACAGCUAAUUUUUAUAGACUCUGAACUAUAAAGAUUGCAAAUUAAACCCCCACCAAGCCAAGAAGCAGAUAAAAUCUCAACUGGAUUAGGCCUAUCUGAUUCUUUAGGAGCUGCAUUCAUUAAUGAGCCUUCUGGCCUAAAAUAAAGGUGAUUUCAGUGGUCUUUAGUCACAAAAAGGUUCUUUAAAGGAAUAUAUAAUUAACAAUCACUAAACACAGUGUGCUAGCCAAGUUCUUC